rnacentral:rRNA from 1 species
UGGGGGAAUAUUGCACAAUGGGCGCAAGCCUGAUGCAGCAACGCCGCGUGAGGGAUGACGGCCUUCGGGUUGUAAACCUCUUUUAGUAGGGAAGAAGCGAAAGUGACGGUACCUGCAGAAAAAAGCACCGGCUAACUACGUGCCAGCAGCCGCGGUAAUACGUAGGGUGCGAGCGUUGUCCGGAAUUAUUGGGCGUAAAGAGCUCGUAGGCGGUCUGUCGCGUCUGCUGUGAAAACCCGAGGCUCAACCUCGGGCCUGCAGUGGGUACGGGCAGACUAGAGUGCGGUAGGGGAGAAUGGAAUUCCUGGUGUAGCGGUGGAAUGCGCAGAUAUCAGGAGGAACACCGAUGGCGAAGGCAGUUCUCUGGGCCGUAACUGACGCUGAGGAGCGAAAGCGUGGGGAGCGAACAGGAUUAGAUACCCUGGUAGUCCACGCCGUAAACGUUGGGCGCUAGAUGUGGGGACCAUUCCACGGUUUCCGUGUCGCAGCUAACGCAUUAAGCGCCCCGCCUGGGGAGUACGGCCGCAAGGCU